rnacentral:rRNA from 1 species
GAGGUGGCAAGCGUUGUUCGGAAUUACUGGGCGUAAAGGGCGCGUAGGCGGCUUUUUAAGUCAGACGUGAAAUCCCCAGGCUUAACCUGGGAACUGCGUCUGAUACUGAGAAGCUUGAGUUCGGGAGAGGGAUGUGGAAUUCCAGGUGUAGCGGUGAAAUGCGUAGAUAUCUGGAGGAACACCGGUGGCGAAGGCGGCAUCCUGGACCGAAACUGACGCUGAGGCGCGAAAGCCAGGGGAGCAAACGGGAUUAGAUACCCCGGUAGUCCUGGCCCUAAACGAUGAGUGCUUGGUGUGGCGGGUAUCGAUCCCUGCCGUGCCGAAGCUAACGCAUUAAGCACUCCGCCUGGGGAGUACGGUCGCAAGGCUG